rnacentral:rRNA from 1 species
CGCCUCUUGUUUAUCAAUAAGAGGUCCAGCCUGCCCAGUGACUCUGUUCAACGGCCGCGGUAUCCUAACCGUGCGAAGGUAGCGUAAUCACUUGUUCUUUAAAUGAGGACUAGUAUGAAUGGCCCCACGAAGGCUACACUGUCUCCUUUUUUUAAUCAAUGAAACUAAUCUUCCCGUGAAGAAGCGGGAAUAUACAUAUAAGACGAGAAGACCCUAUGGAGCUUUAAACUAUCGAAACAUUUGCUUUAUAUUUUUUACGCUCUAAGCCUCCUUUUAAUUAUUCAAGCAUUUUUACUUCAAGUUUUAGGUUGGGGUGACCACGGAGCAAAAUUUAACCUCCAUGAUGUAAGAGACUUCACUCUUAGCAAAAAGCCACUUCUUUAAGCAUCAACAAAUUGACUCUCAUUGACCCAAUUAUUUGAUCAACGAACCAAGUUACCCUAGGGAUAACAGCGCAAUCUACUUCAAGAGCUCAUAUCGACAAGUGGGUUUACGACCUCGAUGUUGGAUCAGGGUAUCCUAGGGGUGCAGCCGCUACUGAUGGUUCGUUUGUUCAACGAUUAAAACCCU